CAGGGAACACUGAAAGACUAACAGAAAUUGUGAACAAAGAAAAAUGCGUCAGAGUCAACCUACAAAUUUUAGGUCUUCAGAAAGAGGAUAUGAACUUGCUUACAGAAACACUCAUUGGCCAUCUGGUGAAAGAUGACCAGACCCGAAAGGAACUGAAAAGUGACCUGCUUCGAAAAAUAGAUGAAAUGGACGAUAAAAUUAGGGUCAUCCUGCAGACACCACUGUUUUUCAACCUGUUUGUUCUUCUUCAUGUUGAAUGUCAGGAUCUGAGCAAUGAAAUGAGCAGCAGGGCAUCACUCUACCUGCAACUGAAGAAGCACAUGACUAAAAGAAUUUUUAACAAGACAGGAAUCUCAAGAGAAUCACUGGAGGAAUUUGAUGCUUUGUACAGAAAAUGGUCUCUGAAACACUAUAUUGAGAGAAAAUAUGAAUGGAAUGAGGAAGAUGUAAAAAGAUUUAAAUCAGAGAUAAAAUGUCAAGAGGUACUUGACAACUUUGAUGCCAUCAUGUCAUCCUACUUCAAUAUAAAACAUACGAAUAAGCUUCUUGAGAUUGGAACAGUAUUCUGCUACAGACACCGAAGCGAGCAGGAGUUUGCAGCUGCAGGCUCCAUCUGUGACGACAUCAUCGUUUCAAGCAGAAAGCAGCAAGGAGGGAACAUUUUCCUUGAAGUGUUGUUGUCAAAGGGAAUCUCAAAGCCUGAAAAUAGUGUGCCAAUGAAGUGUUUUCCAAACGCAACGACGGCGGAAUUCAUUGGCGCGAUUAUAAGGCAUUAUAUACCGGACUUCAGAGAAAUGCUUUCCUUCGUACCAGGAAUACUUCUCAGCACUGAAAAAAAUGUGCUGUACCAAAUCAUAGAUGACAUUCACGAUUUCUACGGAAAUUUCAAUGAAGUCAAGGAAUUAUGCGUUACGGAUGAUAUUUUGAUGCCGUAUGCUGAAACCAGACUGGAUGAAAAGGUUCUGGAAUCACUUGUUUCACGGUUCAGAAAAAUAGACGCGGGUGGGAGAAUUGAUUUAUGGCAAAAGGAUAAUUUUUUCGUCCUACCGUCCUUAUUGUCUAAACUGAGGCCCAAUGAAGUUGUGUUUCAGUAUGUACCGAGAAAUCUUGCAGAGCUCAACAAAACACUGCAGGUUACCAAUUAGCUCGGUAUCCGCACGGAGUUUGACAUAAUUAUGUCGGAAAGGCAAUUUCGAGAAAUUACAGGCCAGGUUUUGCAUCCAGUAGAUUACUUAGUUGUGAAUAUCGACAGUGAUGUGUCCAUAGACAAGGGCUACCUUCGUCCGUUUUCUCUGCAGAGUUCUGCCAGACGACUGAAAAUGUAUUACCAGCCCGGCACCAAUGACGUCGACCGCGUGGCCGAAGUCCUGAACAGGACGGUUCCUCCGAACCGCGCCGAUGACAGCACCGAAUUAACCGUCCGCUUUCCGGAACGUACGCAGCAUUUAAAAAAAAAAAAGAGUUGACAUAGGACGUCUGCUACAGUUGCUGACCGUCGGGCCUUUGAGGUCAAUAACUUUUGAGACAGGGCAGAAUAUUUACUUGAGCAAAUUUAAGAACCUGGAGAAACUCGCCGCAGCAAAGCGACUUGGACAAUUAAAGAUUCAUUAACUGAAAUUUUGUUUUCAGACUGAAAAAAAAAAAAUCACAGGAAUACAAUUUUUUUCAGACUUAAUAAAAUUCACAAGACAAAUUUUUCAGACCGAAAAAAAAUAAAUAAAUAGGAAGGGAAUUUUUUUUCAGGCCUUUCCUGAUUUAGUAAUUGGGUCUUUUGUAUUUCAUUGUAGCCGAUUUUUAUUACAAAGAAUAAUCGAGUUAACAGUCCCCCCA